rnacentral:misc_RNA from 1 species
UGUAACAAUUUUUNUUCCCCCCUCAUCUUUAGGUGAUCCGGGACGGAAGCUGGUCUCCCGUGUGCUUUACGCAAACGGUUGGCCAAAAUCCGAGCCAAGGACGCGGGAGCGUUCCGACAUACGGAGGUGAAAAUUGAUCCACUCGCAUUCCAUCGGUCGCUCCUCUNCNGAAG